GAGAGAGAGAGAGAGAGAGAGAGAGCAUCACAGGCAGGAGCGCACCCGGAGAAGACGAUGGCGUGGGUCGUGGUGGCUUCAUCGCGAACCCACUGCUCUCCUCUCCGCUCCGACGGGACGCGGUCGGCGUCGAGCAGACGACCCAGUUCGCUCUCCUGGGCUUCUUCGUUCACGACUGCGGACCUCAGGGCCUCGCUCUCCGUCGCCUCUAAACCCGCUCUUCCCAAGAUAGUUCACUAAUGCUACGUGUGCUCUCUGAUCCCGUAGAGGGAGGAGCGGCCGGGAGGGAGGGAGGAGGAGAGCUGGAGGUACUGGUCCUUGAAGACGAGGAAGGCCAAGGGGUCAGAGGCAGAGGUGUUGAAGAGGACGUCGCCGGAGGAGUGGUGGGAGACGGAGAAGGAGAAGGAGGUGGCGCUGCGGAGGACGAAGACGAGGUCGGAGGAGGUGGCAGCGGAGAGGUGGCAUUGGGAGUGGCAGAGCGACGGUGGGGGAGCUAGGGUUUGUUCGGGGAGAGAGCAGUGGGGAGGGGAGGGAGAUCGGCGAGGGAUGAGGUCGGCGGGGACUUCCCAUCGGCGGUGGUUGGCGUCUGUGAUUUGGACUUGAAGACGACCACCCGCUUCGAAGCUGGAACGAGACCCAUGAUGACGUAAGCCAAAGUUAGCUACUUUGCAUGGAUGACCGAAGAAAAAAGCAUAUUAUAAAUUAAAAUACAAAAUCUAUAUAUAUCUAAAUAUAUCUGUUAUAUAUAUACACUAGUAAAAUUAAAAUUAUUACCACGAAAAUCCUAAAUUGUUGUACCCACAAUGAAUUUAUAAAAACUUUUUUUUUAAUCACUAAAAACCUCAUACUACUGAGAAAAUAUUAGGUGUAGGUAUGAUAAUCAUGAUUCGUUUAUUUCUUCUCUUUCAGUGUUUUGUUCCUUUUAUUUUUGCCUUCUAAGGCCAAAGACGACGCUCACCCCAUGGAUUGCAAUGGAAAACCAUAGACAACCCACUAAUGAGCAUGUCGACGCUUAUCCAUGGUCGAUGUCGGCAUCGUUCAAGCAUGCUAUUGAUCCCCUGGGUAUCCAUCUUUCCCUUCCAACCAUGGACAUUGCUUGCGGCCAGCUAUGGACGAUUGGCUCACGAGCAACGCUAAUGCUCAUCACAAGUCAUUCGUCGCCCUUGUCAUUUGCAACCUCAAGCCCUCCUUUGCCAAAUUUGGUGAGGGCGACUCUCAUCUUAGCCACAAGGGUCGAGCCCUCAUCGAAUUUGACAAAAGCGACCCUCGUAUGUGGCUGACAAGGGUUGCAACACCCUUCUCGGCCCUCAAUGAUGUCAUGGCCACGGGCCAAAGGGAAAGAAAGGAAAAAGAAGAAGAAGAAAGAAAUGAUGAAGAAGAGAAACAAAGUGCCAAAGGAGAGAGAUGGAGAGAUUCCAAUUUUCUAAUGGAGCGGGACCAUAGUGCCUCUU